CCUCGGCCGCGCCGGCGGCGUCCGUGGCCCCCAGCGCCACCAGCGGCUCGGCCUUGCCGGGCGUGCGGUUCCACACCGUGGUCGGGUG
rnacentral:tRNA from 1 species